rfam:Hordeum vulgare subsp. vulgare, WGS project CAJW01000000 data, contig: morex_contig_1568042
UAUAUACUCCCUUCGUCUUAAAAUUCUUGUCUUAAAUUUAUUUGAAUACGAAUGUAUCUAGUCAUAUUUUAGCAUUUAGAUACAUUUAUUUGUAGACAAACCUAAAACAAAAAAUUCAAAACAGAGGGAGUAUAUA